UGGGGAAUAUUGCACAAUGGGGGGAAACCCUGAUGCAGCGACGCCGCGUGAGCGAUGAAGUAUUUCGGUAUGUAAAGCUCUAUCAGCAGGGAAGAAUUAAGACGGUACCUGACUAAGAAGCACCGGCUAAAUACGUGCC
rnacentral:rRNA from 1 species